UGGCUCUCGCAUCGAUGAAGAACGCAGCGAAAUGCGAUAAGUAAUGUGAAUUGCAGAAUUCAGUGAAUCAUCGAAUCUUUGAACGCACCUUGCGCUCCUUGGUAUUCCGAGGAGCAUGCCUGUUUGAGUGUCUUGAAGUCAUCAACCCCUUCGGUUUCGUUUCCGAAGCGGGUUGGAUCUGGGGGCCGCUGCCGUCGGUCAAUGCCGUCGGCUCCCCUCGAAUGCGUCGGUUGGGCCUGUGGGUCGAACCCGGCUGGGCGUUGUACCAUCCUCGCUCUAUCGGGACGGACUCCACGUUUGCGUGCCCCUCCGCGACCUGCCUCUCGUUGUAGGGUGGCGGUCAAAACUUGAGGGACUCACCUCCCUUUUGAAAUCUGACCUCAAAUCAGGUAGGACUACCCGCUGA
rnacentral:misc_RNA from 1 species